UGGGGAAUUUUGCACAAUGGGCGCAAGCCUGAUGCAGCGACGCCGCGUGAGGGAUGAAGGCCUUCGGGUUGUAAACCUUUUUCGCUCAUGGUCAAGCCGCAGCUUUGGGUUGUGGUGAGGGUAGUGGGUAAAGAAGCGCCGGCUAACUACGUGCCAGCAGCCGCGGUAAUACGUAGGGCGCGAGCGUUGUCCGGAAUUAUUGGGCGUAAAGGGCUUGUAGGCGGUUGGCCGCGUCUGCCGUGAAAUCCUCUGGCUUAACUGGGGGCGUGCGGUGGGUACGGGUUGACUGGAGUGCGGUAGGGGAGACUGGAAUUCCUGGUGUAGCGGUGGAAUGCGCAGAUAUCAGGAGGAACACCGGUGGCGAAGGCGGGUCUCUGGGCCGUUACUGACGCUGAGGAGCGAAAGCGUGGGGAGCGAACAGG
rnacentral:rRNA from 1 species